rnacentral:rRNA from 1 species
GAUGAACGCUGGCGGCGUGCUUAACACAUGCAAGUCGAACGGUGAAGGCGGAGCUUGCUCUGCUGGAUCAGUGCGAACGGGUGAGUAACACGUGAGCAAUCUGCCCCUGACUCUGGGAUAAGCGCUGGAAACGGCGUCUAAUACUGGAUACGAGCUGCGAAGGCAUCUUCAGCAGCUGGAAAGAAUUUCGGUCAGGGAUGAGCUCGCGGCCUAUCAGCUUGUUGGUGAGGUAAUGGCUCACCAAGGCGUCGACGGGUAGCCGGCCUGAGAGGGUGACCGGCCACACUGGGACUGAGACACGGCCCAGACUCCUACGGGAGGCAGCAGUGGGGAAUAUUGCACAAUGGGCGAAAGCCUGAUGCAGCAACGCCGCGUGAGGGACGACGGCCUUCGGGUUGUAAACCUCUUUUAGCAGGGAAGAAGCGAAAGUGACGGUACCUGCAGAAAAAGCGCCGGCUAACUACGUG